UACAGAGGUCCAUCAGCUGUUGGUGAUUCAUUGGGCGUAAAGGGUGUGUAGGUGCGGCGCGUAAGUCGGGUGUGAAAUUCGACGGCUUAACUCCGAAACUGCAUUCGAUACUGGCGUGCUUGAGGACUGGAGAGGAGACUGGAAUUAGGUGUAGCGGUGAAAUGCGUAGAUAUCAUGAGGAAGACCAGUGGCGAAGGCGGGUCUCUGGACAGUUCCUGACGCUGAGGCACGAAGGUCAGGGGAGCAAACGGG
rnacentral:rRNA from 1 species